rnacentral:rRNA from 1 species
CCUACGGGAGGCAGCAGUGAGGAAUAUUGCACAAUGGGGGAAACCCUGAUGCAGCGAAGCCGCGUGAGUGAAGACGUAUUUCGGUGUGUAAAGCUCUAUCAGCCGGGAAGAAACUGCCGGUACCUGAUUACGAAGCCCCGGCUAACUACGUGCCAGCAGCCGCGGUCAUACGUCGGGGGCAAGCGUUAUCCGGAUUUACUGGGUGUAAAGGGAGCGUAGACGGAAGUACAAGUCUGGAGGGAAAUGCCGGGGCUUAACCCCGGAACUGCUUUGGAAACUGGGGAGCUAGAGUGCAGGAGAGGUAAGUGGAAUUCCUAGUGUAGCGGUGAAAUGCGUAGAUAUUAGGAGGAACACCAGUGGCGAAGGCGGCUUACUGGACUGUAACUGACGUUGAGGCUCGAAAGCGUGGGGAGCAAACAGGAUUAGAUACCCGGGUAGUC